rnacentral:lncRNA from 1 species
AUCGCCGCCAAACUCCGAUGGUUCCAUUCUAAUCCCAACAAUGCGGCGCCUCUCUUUCUUCCUUGAAUUCAACUUUUCCUAAUCGCUAGCUGUCCACGUUUUCUCGGGCCCACACGCCAUGCCUUCUCCUCUGCCUAUAUUUAAACCCCCUCAAACCCCAACAGAACACACACACUGAAACGCAGACUUUCCUCUUCAUUUCUUGUUUCUGGUAUUCGUCUUCCCAUCUUUCCUUACCACUUAAGGCUGCAACUGUUUUUUAAAUACAAAUCAAUUGCUAUGGCACUGAUGAGAGCUGUGUUUAUGCUUGUGGCCGUCAUGGCUAUUCUGUCUGCUACAAUGGCUCAGGAUGAGUUCGGAAUGGCUCCGGCGCCGUCGCCUGUCAACGGUGCAGGAUACUCCUUGCCAGUUUCUGCUGCUGUCGUGGGUUCUUCAUUGGUUCUGUCUCUCUUGGCCCUCAUCAAAAACUAGAUCGAUUAUUCAUACAUGAUGGUUUUUAGAUUCUUGGUGAUUCAUUGACUAUACCAUAUGAACUAGGAUUUAUAUGUGAGGUGUUUUUCUUUCUUUCUUUCUUUCCUCUUUUUUUUUUUUUUUUUGGUGGGGGUGUGAGAGGGGUGGGGUGCGGGGUUGGGAAUUGAUGGUGAGUCUAGAUUGAGAAUUAUGUAUUGAUUAGUUUAUUUUAUAGCUUAGCCAUGUGACAUACAUACUUUUGUAUUUUAUUUAUCGUUACAUUAUUCAUUUUAUGGUUUGAUGUUUAAAUUGUUGGUUUAUAUCGAAUUACUUAGCAGUGUGCAUUUUAAUCGAAAUCGAAGCAAAACCGUCCAGAAGAUAGAGAUCGACCUGUUUCAAAUGAUUCUUAGUUCUUGAACAGCAGCGGAGUGUCAGAUCUGAAAACUGAAUUUAUUAUUUUGUUAUUUUUCAAUUUAUUGACUAUGAUUAAAAGACUUGGCCCAACAAGCAGGCCGGCGCCACUAAUUUUGUUUAGUACGGACAUAAUUUAAUCAAAGUACGAUUUUUCAUCAUGAAUUUAAUAAUAUUACGAUAACGUUAAACAUGACAUAGCGACAAUACUAAUAAGAUGAUCAUCUUUUUUUUUAGUCGAGUAUUGGUGAAAAGUUGUAUAACAUGAAACUCAACUUUAUUCGAUAUCUUCCUAUCA